rnacentral:rRNA from 1 species
UAGGGAAUCUUCCACAAUGGACGCAAGUCUGAUGGAGCAACGCCGCGUGAGUGAAGAAGGUUUUCGGACCGUAAAGCUCUGUUGUUGGUGAAGAAGGAUAGAGGUAGUAACUGGCCUUUAUUUGACGGUAAUCAACCAGAAAGUCACGGCUAACUACGUGCCAGCAGCCGCGGUAAAUCGUAGGUGGCAAGCGUUGUCCGGAUUUAUUGGGCGUAAA